rnacentral:tRNA from 2 species
GGAGAGGUGUCCGAGUGGCUGAAGGUGCAUGCUUGGAAAGCAUGUGUACGGUAACACGUACCGGGGGUUCGAAUCCCCCCCUCUCCG